ACUGGGAGAGUCUGUCUUUUAUCUCAAACAAAACUACAUGGAGAAAAGGUACUAAAGAAAGACAAAUGCAUUAGAUAAAUAUUUUACCGUAUAGUUGUCAGUAAACCAACUUAGAAUUAUCCUGCAGGGAUUACAUAAAUAAAUAAAUACAUAAAUAAACAAACAAAAUAAACACCUUUAUGAACACUCCGACUGAGUGGAAUAUGUCUAUAUUCUUAUAACUGCUUCAGUUCUAAAAGCCGGAGACACAGGAAUCAUUAAGAGGGGUUGAGUCAAGAUGGCGGCCUGGAAGUAGCUCCUGCGCGCUGCUCUCACAGGGAGGAGACAAAGGGCUGGUGAACACUGACCCUACAAGCUGAUAUCUAAGAAACCGUGUCGGACUCGAUCAAGGCAGCAAGCCGACACAGAGAACAGAGAGGAGUGCAGCUGGGCAGCAGCCUGUCUGGGAUAAACGCGGAGCCAGGAGAAGCUCCCCAACACAGGAAAGGCUUCCAUCAACCAGGAGUCUGUAUAUGCUUUACCUGGUUCCUCUGCUCAGGGUGUCCAAAGGCUGUGGUCAAGAAUCCCAUCUAGGAUAUCAUAUCACAUUGAGAUGUCAAGUUUCCUUUGGCUGUUCUUGGCUGUGGCAGUUUCUCAGACUUCUGUAGUUUUUGGUAGACAUCAUUCAAUCUAUUGAUAGUCUGAAAUAGAAGAAGACGAUGGAGAAAGGUUGAAUUCUCCCUCUCUGCAUGACAGUAUGAGCUGGAAAACUGAUCUUUCCCUGCCCUUGGAGCUCCUGGUUCUCAGACCUUCAGACUGGAACUGUCACAGUUCCCAAACUCCAAACUCCAAAAG
rnacentral:lncRNA from 10 species